rnacentral:lncRNA from 1 species
UUUGUUAACAUGUAGGCUAGGAUUAAUAAGAGUACUUUAUAGUAAAAAAUACUUUGGUUUAUUUUUGUUUUCUUUUAAAUGAAAAAUAAUAUUCUUUUCUGUUUUUCUCACACUUUCUCUCUUUCUUAUGUUCUUAUUUUCCAUUUGUAAGACUGAAUCUUAUAAUUUUGUUUUUCUUCUAUUGAAGGAUUGUCAGUACCAAAUAGAGGCUUUGAAUGGGGAUUUGAGUCUUUACAUAGAGUUUGGCUGCAAUCAACUUUAAGGAUAGGUCUUGUUUUAGCCAGGGUCACAUGCUGCCUGAUUUCUCUGUUGGUCCCUAUUUCUUAAAAUGGAUUUGAAAAUUGUGUGUAUUAGUAAUACUUCAUAUUUAAAAAGUAAGAAAUGAAGACCUCACCAGUACAGAGAUAUUUUAAUAAAAUGUAAUGGUUAUGUUAAUAACCCCCAAAUUAGAUGUCAUGAUUAAGUGAUAUUUCAGUGAAAGAAUUUUUCAGUCAGAAAACUCCAAAUAAAUAAGCCUAAAGUUAUUCUCAAUUGACUGUAGUAAAAAGCAGUUUGGCAAAUAGCAAAAAACUAAAAUUUACUUUUGUAAUUAAUCUAGCUUGUCUUAUUAAAUCAAUUAACAUUAGAAACAAUGGAUAUUGUCACUAUACCUUGUUAGUAUUUUCUUUGUGCUGCAAUGGUUUGGUUUGUAAAAAGUCAAACUCUUAUAAUACUUUUAUUUUUGUUUUAAAUUUAUUUGUAAUUAAUUUUUUACACUCCAUAUUCUAAUCCCUGCCCGUCCCCAUCAGACUGCUCCACAUCCCACACCUCCUCCCCACCCUACCCCGUCUCCACGUGGAUGCCCCAACCCCUACCCCACCUGAUCUCUUAACUCCCUGCGGCCUCCAGUCUCUUGAGGGUUAGGUGUCUCAUCUCUGAAUGAAGACAGACAUGGAAGUCCUCUACUGUAUGUGUGUUGGGGACCUCAUAUCAGCUGGUGUAUGCUGCCUGUUUGGUGGUCCAGUGUUUGAGAGAUCUCAGGGGUCCAGAUUAAUUGAGAUGGCUCGUCCUCCUACAGAGUCGCCCUUCUCAUUAGCUUCUUUCAGCCUCCCCUAACUCAACAACAGGGGUCAACUGCUUCUGUCCAUUGGUUGGGUGCAAAUAACUGCAUCUGACUCAGCUGCUUGUUGGGCUUUCUGGAGUGCAGUCAUACUAGGUCCCUUUUUGUGAACAUUCCAUAGCCUCAAGUCAAGCCUUGGGACCUCCCUUUGAGCUUUAUCCCACUGUGGGCCUGUCACUGGACCUUCUUUUCCUCAGGCUCCUCUCCAUUUCCAUCCCUGUAAUUCAUUCAGACAGAAACAAUUAUGGGUCAGAGGUGUGACUGUGGGAUGGCAACCCCAUCCCUCACUUGAUGUCUUGUUUUCCUUCUGGAGGUGGGUUUUAUAAGUCCCCUCUUCCGACUGUAGGGCAUUUCAUCAGAGGUUCCUCCAGAAGCCAUCAACUACCAAUAACUCCUCAGCUAGGAAUGGGGGUUCUUGAGCUCCUCCUCCUUCGUGCUGAAAUGUUAUUUGAUUUGGUCCUGUAUAGGUCUGUUAAGGAGAUGCUCUUUGAGUUCAUUAGUCCUGUCAUAUCCAGAAGAUCUCUGGUCAUUACAAAUUUGCAAUGAUUCCCUAUGUUCUUGAGUUGGUGGUAUAGAUGCCCCAUUGUUCAACUGACAAGUAUUCUCUAUACUUUGACCAGUUGUACAUUUCCACUGAAAGAAGACACUUUUCUAACGUGUUUUUGGAGUUUUACUAUCCCAUGAGGAUAGAAACAUAGACAUAAAUGUCAGUUUGGGAAUCCUUCCAUUCAGCAAAAUAAUAGUAGUAGAUUCACCUUGUGGGUCCUAUGAUUUUUCUGAGGUCUUAGCCAAAUUUUCACUACCAAGCAUUCCUUUCCUCUCAUGCAGCGUGAGAAUAAAUAAAAAAAGAAGUUGUGUGUCCUAUAACAUCCAUGACACUACUCUACACAUGGAUAUAUCUUGCCAUGUUGGUUGUUACUGUGGCUUUCAGGGUUCACAGCUCUUGAUGACUUCUCCAAGCAGCCUGGAUUGCAUCUUCUGGUACUAUGGCAGGUGGUGAGAAUGGCAGAAGCUUCCUGGUCAGUACUAACCUGAUUUUACCAUGUCUUAAGAAAAUGAGUUUAUAGAGGGUUACCAAGAGCAAUGGCUGAAUAUGUGUCUUUGGGUGAUGUCCAGAACACCCCUUACAUGAACCUUGAUAUAGAACUAUUCCACAUCUGGUACUAGGCUUUUAUUUGGCAAAAUUUGGCUUCGGGGAGGAGCAUUAUCUCCUGUUUAGGGCAACUCGGGAUACAUUCUUUUAUAUGGAACUCUGAAUAUUUUAAAAUUUCAUAAACAGUAGGUUUCCAUAUGUUGUUUUAAAAUAUCUUUAGUAUUAGUUAUACCUCCACUAACUCCCACCUCUGUUCUACAUUCUAAUCCCACUUUUCACCUAAAGUUUCCUUUCCACUUCAUAUCAUUGUUCUACUCUUACUUUUUUUUCCCCAGGCUGUUAGAAAGUUUAUAACUAGUAGAUGUGCAUUUGGCCUUUUCAAACAUGCCCAAUAUUAAUUAUUCCCCUCCCUACCAUGUCUUCUGCCCAAUCCUCCAUCCCUCCCCCUACUUAAACCUCUCUUCUUAUUAUUUCCCCCUUUUCCCUCAUACCAUAUGCAUUUUACUAUAACUCCCAGAGCUUUCUAAUUAACAGUUGCCUACAGAUAUAGUCCUGUACUGUGAAUAUUAAUGGGACUGGUGGCUUAUGACAGAAUUAUGUUUAAAGAAUCACUUAUUUUAAAGGUGAUUAUCCAGAAAGCAUAGACUAUAUGUACUUGAUGUAGUCAUAAGUGCAUUUGCAAAUGCUUUCAAAAAUUCCUUUGUAUGCUAAUUUUAUUUUCUUCUUAGUUAUAGGGAUGCAGAAAAGAAUUUCCACAAUAUCUCUAAAAGAUGCUCCUAUGCAGACCAUUCCAACAAAGAGGAAAUUGAAGAUGUCUCAGGAAUUCUUCAGUGCACUGCUAAUGUACUCGGUAUAUUAACUAUACUUUUUUAAUAUAUGAUUGACAGAGAAUAUGAGGGGAGGGAAAGUAAAGGUAUGAGUGUUUCAUUUUCUCUUAUGUUUGGAGGGUAUGGUAAUAGGAGACCAAGAAAGUAUUUGAUUUUUUACACCCAUGAAAAUGUUUUUAUGUGAAUUACAAACAAGUUCUUUACUUGUAAAC